rnacentral:rRNA from 1 species
AUUGAACGCUGGCGGCAGGCCUAACACAUGCAAGUCGAACGGUAACAGGAAGAAGCUUGCUUCUUUGCUGACGAGUGGCGGACGGGUGAGUAACGUCUGGGAAACUGCCUGAUGGAGGGGGAUAACUACUGGAAACGGUAGCUAAUACCGCAUAACGUCGCAAGACCAAAAAGGGGGACCUUCGGGCCUCUUGCCAUCGGAUGUGCCCAGAUGGGAUUAGCUAGUAGGUGGGGUAACGGCUCACCUAGGCGACGAUCCCUAGCUGGUCUGAGAGGAUGACCAGCCAUACUGGAACUGAGACACGGUCCAGACUCCUACGGGAGGCAGCAGUGGGGAAUAUUGCACAAUGGGCGCAAGCCUGAUGCAGCCAUGCCGCGUGUAUGAAGAAGGCCUUCGGGUUGUAAAGUACUUUCAGCGGGGAGGAAGGGAGUAAAGUUAAUACCUUUGCUCAUUGACGUUACCCGCAGAAGAAGCACCGGCUAACUCCGUG